AUUCUGAAUAGCCCUGGCAGAGGAAGCAUGAACCCUAGUCCCUACUUACGUCAGCUACCUAAGCCACCUACCAGUCAUUCCCCUCCCCCCACACUGAUCAGGAAGACCAACUGCAGAUGGGUCCAGGAAUUCUAACUCUGGGCACUGGAGUGAACACAUGUGGUAGCAUGAAUAGGACCACCAUUAUCAGGUGAGAAAAUAGCAAUAGGAAACCACAGGCCAUACCAACGAAUGAGAUGAGCUGCAGAAUGGACAAAAAUACCAAAUACUGACUUCAAAGGAGAAGCAGUAGGUGAUUUCACUCAAAUUAUUUAAAAAGUAGAGCAAUAACCUGGCAAUCUUGGUGUCCCAGGAGAGAGGCCACAUGAGCAAACAGGAAAUCAGGCAAAUAAGUGUAAGGACAUGGCCAAGGCUGCUGAUGGAAUGCCUCUUAGGCUUUCCACAUGGCUUCAGCUUCUGCAACCCUGGGAUCCAUACAUCUACUCUCUGGCAACCCAAACUGGCAGACGUGGCUAUUUCCACCUAUCACCUAGCCUGGGAUGUACAAGGUCACUAGCUUUGUUAGAAUCUCCUAUGUCUUAGGUAUGUUCCUGAGGCUGCCCGUAUCCUGUAACUGAGUGAAGCGAGAAACAAGGCUGGUCCUGUGGGCCCAGCAUGGGACACUGAUGAGCAACACUCAUACUACGGCUUCCCCAUUUCAUGUUGAUUGAGGCUCUCUGGUCUGCUUCAGUGUUUGACUUUGCUCAUCUACCCAAUCUGAGGAUUGUAUAAAUGUCUUAUACCCCAAACUAGAUGGGUACCUGCUGCUUUAGGAGGCCCAAAACCUGCAACAAGUCAGUGCUGAUAAUAUAUUCUUUAUCGACCACCUAUAUUAGAAAUCAUUCACCCUAAACCCUUACUUGUGUGGUCUAGGGUACUUGCAAAGAGGGGUAAUUCAUACAUUCAUCCUUAGAGGCUCUGAGUCCAUCUAAGAUUACAAACUGGUUAUCAGGCCAUGGUUACUGACAUUACUGAUUGUCGCUAGCCAUGGGAUCACCAAGGGAUGUGCAGUGAAUCCCAUAGAAGCCACCUCCUGGCUGUGUUAUGGAGCAACUGCCCUUGCUCUCAUGAUCAAUCUUUUACCUGUUGGUCCAAAAUGACCUUGUGGCACCCAUAGCUGAGUUUGGAGCUCUUGUGUCUCCCAUGGUAGGAAAGUUUCUUUCUGUCCCUUUCCAGUAACAGUCUAGUCUAAAGCAUAAAGCUGUGGCAAGGUGAAAUACAUGUUCCAAGUGGUCCCCAAAAGGGAUAGAGGGUAGCCCCUCCUGUUUAUAGCACCUUAGUCAUGGAAUACCCUUUUAUUGUGCCUAUUGUUCACAGCAAGUAAUGGCUAUUGGUUCAAGUUAGACAUACAUUUUUCAAGACAGCUGGUAUCAGAGGCACUAAAACUAAUUCAUCAACUUUGGACAAGAGGUUGUCAGACCAGCUGCCUCUGAGCUCUGCAGUAUACCAUAGUAAUCUAAUCAUUUAUUGUUCAUUGUUCUCUUCCAUCAUCUACAAUGAGCCCAUCUGACUUUUGCAGGGGCUGUACAGGAAAACUGAACAGGGAUAUUAUUGAUUGGGACCACUACUUCUGCAUCCUUUGAGACUAUUAAGGAACAUUCAUCUCUACCACCCAACCCAGUUGUGAUAUUAAUUCUGAGUUACUAUCUUGGCCCUAGAGCAGUUUUAUAGUCUUUGCAACCAUUACAACCCUUAGUCUUCAGAAAAGGAAACAAAUUGAGGGCUUUACUAAGUAGGUCCAUUCAUUUCAGGCAUUCAGAGACCAGUGAAGUGUUCAGAGUAGACCCAGAGACUCACUGGACUAAGACUAACUUGGGUGAGGACUUUAUUCUUACUAAAGUGUAUGGGUCAAUUAAAGUUUCCCAUACCGGCAGCAUUUUAGGACUAGUUCCAUGUAUCCUCUCUAGACCAUCAAUCCCAUGAGGGUCCCUAUGUUAGGCUAUCCACUGUCUAAGCCUUAUAUUCUGCCUUCCCUGCUCCAGCACCCUCGAGGCUCAUUCCUAGGUCUCUCUUCCUACUCAGAAUAGCCAGGUCCCAUAGAUCUGUUGGUGAAUCAUCCCUUCCCCUCCUGUAGCAGGAAGAUUGCCCCAAUUGAGUCAUGCUGUGACUUGCCACCACUGUCCUGAAAGCCCCACAGGGAGAUGGGGGCAUAGCUCAAGAGGAUAAUGCAUGUGUCUCAGGUGAAGCCUGUAUUAUCCUUAAGGGGAGAGGAACAGUAGAUUCUGGGGGACUCAAGGAUCUAGAGUAUCUAUCCAGAUGUCAAUAUCACCCUAAUCCUUCCACAUCAGAUCCUGACUUUAGGAGACUUGCCAGGUAUGAGAAUUUAAUAUUCCUUGUGCCUCUAUUUUUCUAGUAAUAACUAGGCUCGACUUUCAGCACCAUCUGUACUUUGGCUGUAGGUGAUGAGAACUCCUUUAAAUGACAUCAUAGCUUGUAAGUAGCUGGCCUGGGCUUCCAUGUUCUCUUUAGUGCUAGUCUGGCAGUUAACCAACUUCUCAGUCCUGAUUCAUUGCUUCUCUCCCAAAUGCUAGAGAAAUUGUACAUCCUCUUCCAGCUCUGUCAUCCUCAUUCUCCACAGGGGAGAAAUCUCAAUCAUGAUGCUUUAAUACAGACAUUCUCAGACUCCGAGCAGUCACCUGGUGUGCCAAUAAGACAGAGGCCCAGGCUGGGUAAAGCAACAGUGUCUGAUUUAUAUUUUCACCAAGUUCUUCAGGUGAUUCUCAUAUGUACCAAAAUUCAAGAACGAUCACUACAGUAUGCUGGGAGUUAUUACUCCAUUUGACAUCUGCAUUGUGGUCUUGCUGCCAUAGAUAGCUGAUGAGUGAAUAAUCUGAUUCCAGAAUCUUGUCUACUUGCAGAGACUCCCACUGGCUAGAGAUAACCUUGAUAUUAAAACCUUAUGAGGCAAACUUUAAAUGUUAGAUUUAGAUAGAGCUCUAAGGUACUGAUACCAUUAGUGUUUACUGUAUUUCUCCAUUACUGGAAUAUUCAAACCCAUUAAAAUAAAAUGGGACAAAAAUGUAAUCAAAGGAGGCAGGCGGGGGGAGAAAAUGUAGACCAUGUGGAAUUAAGUCUUAAAUCCAAGUAUCAGUAACAACUUCAAACAUAAAGGGCUAGUUAAGAUACUGUCAGGCUUCAGAAAAUCUAGUUAUCUAAGAUAUCCAAAACAUGACAAGUUGGAAAACAAAACCAAAAAACAGUAUAGCUAUAUUAACAUGUCAGGUGACAUACAGAGGCAGAAAAUUAGAGAUAGUUCCCUCAAAAUGAUAAAUUGUUCAGUUUGGAUACAUGUAAUAUCUUGAUCAAGAUAUACAAACCAAAAUGUGUAGCUUAAGGUGAAAAAUUCUUAAACAUACUGGGUCACUAAUAUACUUUCCUCUAAGGUGGAUACUGAAGAUUUGAAGACCAUAAUGAAUAAAUAUGGACAAAUACAUAGAACACUGUACUUGGUAAAUGCACACCACGUUCUGUUCAAGUAAAUGUGGAGCUUUUGCCAAAAUAAAAGGUCAGGUAGAAAUAAAACUUCAAGAGGCAAGUUAUACAAAGUGAACUCUGAUUAAAUGCAAAUAGUCUAGAAAUGCAAGUAAUUAAAAAAUCAUCCUAUACUUGGGAAUUAAGAGUCCCACUUACAAAGUAAUCCAUAGGUCAAAAAGAAACUUAGUGAAAGAAAAUGUUUUGGGGUGAGGUAUUGCUUCUGUUUAGAAAGUAGUCUGUAGAAUGAAGAGAACAUUCGUCCCUUAAGGGCCAGGUAAUUACACAAUUCUAUCUUUUGAGUCCUCAGAACUGAGGUUGCAAGGCAACCAAGUGAAUUAAGUUCUGAAGAAUGCUAAGCCCCUCUGAGCAGACAGAAACAGCACGGUAUUACCUUUGGCAGAACACAGGAGGAAGAGAGGCAGCAGCAGAGGUAGCUAAGUAGCAGUCAGGGAAGAUGUGACGGAAUUCUUAAAGGUAGCCUGUGGCUAAAGUUUGAAAUAAUCGGGGGCUCAAAAAAUGAAGAGUUUGCACUCAAGCUCUUUGCCAACAGCCCACACUGGCUGCGCAUGAAGACAACAGGCAGAGACCAGAGUGCCUGGCAGGAUAGGACUAGCUGCUGGUGGCCAGGCAGACUUCUCCAUUCCCUGGAUUCUUAAGAACAGCGAGAGUCUUAUACCACUGGAAGAUGGGUGGAAAACUCCACCAAGGACUGCAAAAGACCCAGACAGCUUCCGGAGAAGGGAGAGAAGCAGAAGGCAUCUGCACUUGUAAGGAGUAAAAUAUGUUCUCUCUUCCAUUGCCUCUGAAGGUAAAACCCUCAGCUUCUGCGGGGGAGAAGAAGAGCAGGGAACCCCUAGUCUUCCCCAUUCCUCCACCAACAGGUGUGCUGCUACUGCUGGGGACAGGAGCAAGAUAUGCUUUGACGUCCAGGCCACAUGGAGUACAGCUGCCAUGAGGAUGGUGGGCAGAAUUGUUCAGGAAAUGCCACCCAGAGGCCCAGACAUAGGGGCAGCCCGAGAGUAAUGCUGGACAAGAGAACAGAGGAGCCCUCUGCCCCCAACCAUAACCCCAGCACUGGUAACUAGCAUAACAGUCUACUGCUACAGAGGGAAAGAGCAUGGAGAGACCUUCCUGCAUAGGCAUGGAGGGCCAACUGAAGAUGAAUGAGAACACUAAAGGGGAAAAUCCCUCUGGCACCAUAGGUACAAGGUAAAAAGCAGACCCUUGGGAAAAACUGGAAGCAAUGGAAGUAUCAGCAGCAUCAAACAUCCAUGAGCCAAUUAAGCCAUCUAGAUUGACUCACCACCCCACCCCCUACACAUAUGGUAGCCCACUUGCAAGUGUAAGUAUCUCAUUCUAUAUUGUUCAUAAUAGCCAGUGCUCAAGUUAACAGAAAGAGCCUACUAUAAAGAGAACAGAUCAACUCAGGGAUCCCUCAGAUGCUGGAAUCAGGCAGGGACCUUGAAAUGAUUAGAUAAAAAAUAUAGCAGAAAUGGUGGACAACACGCACAGAUUGUUUUCAUUUCUGAAUUCCUAAGUUAGAAAAGUGGACGAGCUAGAAGAGAUGAAGAAAAAAAUGUCUUCAAGUGUCUCUUAUUGUUCAUGGAAGAUUUUAAUCAGCCAGGACUCUUAGCCACCACUUUUUAGUCAUUUUUCAACUGAGGUUUCUACCAUGUGAUAUAUACUGCACAUGUUAAACUUGCUUCUCUUGUUAAUCUGUCUUGUUACACACGUUUGUCCCAGUCACAAACUUAUGAGGGUAAAGAAAAAAAAUUAUGCUUUUUCUCCUUAAGGGGAGAAGUAGAAGAAAUAUUUUAUGUAAAAAGCAUACCUUUAAAGAGUAUUUUUACUAUAUUAAACUUAAGAAUUUCUCAGAAAUCAGAGGGAAAAAUUGUGAAUGGUGGAAAGCAUUUGUACCAUCCAUGUAAAUAGUGACUAGUCUUUAGAUAUGAACAUCCAUAAAUAAAGAACAACCCAAUAGGUAAGUUGUAAACAGACUUUACAUAAUAGAAAACAAGUAAGUGUGAAGGUCACCACGUGAAAGUUAUAGUGCCAGGACAAAGUCAUAGACACAGAGCACAGCACUAGGAAGGCACUAGGGAGAGGCGGCUCAUGCUCACAUCUGAGAGAAGGGCUUUUUAAGAAUCACACCGCUAAGAACUCUCCCAGCUUGUCAAGAGAAUCUUGACAGAAUGGAAAGCUAUGCCUACUUUUGAUCAUUUAGUUUGGCAAACCAGCUUGAUGCACCCUCGAGAACACUAUGAAUUUGUGAUUUUCUUUUUAGUAAUCUCCAAUUUUAGCAGAUGGAGGCUCCUGGACAACACUGGGAGACCUCCUGGAAUGUGCCACUGUGAGAGGCCAGGCCACCGAAAAAUUGCCAGAGAAGAAUCUUUCUACCCAUCUCACCCCCCUCCUCCACCUGGGACCACUCUCAAGGGGCUCCAAGGAUUUACAGUAUGGGUUGGGCUGGGUUGUGGGAUGGGUCUUCCCAGUUUUCACUUA
rnacentral:lncRNA from 10 species